rnacentral:rRNA from 1 species
UACGUAGGUGGCAAGCGUUGUCCGGAUUUACUGGGCGUAAAGAGCGCGCAGGCGGUCGUUCAAGUCGCGUGUGAAAGCCCCCGGCUCAACUGGGGAGGGUCAUUCGAUACUGUCGGACUCGAAGGCAGGAGAGGGAAGCGGAAUUCCCGGUGUAGUGGUGAAAUGCGUAGAUAUCGGGAGGAACACCGGUGGCGAAGGCGGCAUCCUGGACCAUUACUGACGCUGAGGCGCGAAAAGCUAGGGGAGCAAACGGG